GUCCCCGUAGCGUAGUGGUCAGCGUUUGUCAGCUUUAUCUCCAGCGUAUAUAUUUAUCCAGCGAUUUGAUUCAAGGCAGUGAAAGACGUCGGUUCGAAUCCGACCGGGGACA